AUUGAACGCUGGCGGCAUGCCUUACACAUGCAAGUCGAACGGUAACGCGGGGCAACCUGGCGACGAGUGGCGAACGGGUGAGUAAUGCAUCGGAACGUGCCCAGUAGUGGGGGAUAGCCCGGCGAAAGCCGGAUUAAUACCGCAUACGACCUACGGGUGAAAGGGGGGGAUCGCAAGACCUCUCGCUAUUGGAGCGGCCGAUGUCAGAUUAGGUAGUUGGUGGGGUAAAGGCCUACCAAGCCUACGAUCUGUAGCUGGUCUGAGAGGACGACCAGCCACACUGGGACUGAGACACGGCCCAGACUCCUACGGGAGGCAGCAGUGGGGAAUUUUGGACAAUGGGCGCAAGCCUGAUCCAGCCAUGCCGCGUGCGGGAAGAAGGCCUUCGGGUUGUAAACCGCUUUUGUCAGGGAAGAAACGCUCUGGACUAAUACUCUGGGGUAAUGACGGUACCUGAAGAAUAAGCACCGGCUAACUACGUGCCAGCAGCCGCCGUAA
rnacentral:rRNA from 1 species